rnacentral:rRNA from 1 species
AACGAACGCUGGCGGCAUGCCUAACACAUGCAAGUCGAACGAGACCUUCGGGUCUAGUGGCGCACGGGUGCGUAACGCGUGGGAAUCUGCCCUUGGGUUCGGGAUAACAGUUGGAAACGACUGCUAAUACCGGAUGACGUCUUCGGACCAAAGAUUUAUCGCCCAGGGAUGAGCCCGCGUCGGAUUAGCUAGUUGGUAGGGUAAAAGCCUACCAAGGCGAUGAUCCGUAGCUGGGCUGAGAGGAUGAUCAUCCAAACUGGGACUGAGACACGGCCCAGACGUGUACGGGAGGCAGCAGUGGGAAAUAUUGGACAAUGAGGGAAAGCCUGAUCCAGAAAUGCCGCAGGAGUGAUGAAGGCCUUAGGGUUGUAAAGCUCUUUUACACGGGAUGAUAAUGACAGUAACGGGAGAAUAAGCCCCGGCUAAGUCCGUGCCAGCAGCCGCCGUAA